rnacentral:rRNA from 1 species
AGCGAACGCUGGCGGCAGGCCUAACACAUGCAAGUCGAACGAACUCUUCGGAGUUAGUGGCGGACGGGUGAGUAACACGUGGGAACGUGCCUUUAGGUUCGGAAUAACUCAGGGAAACUUGUGCUAAUACCGAAUGUGCCCUUCGGGGGAAAGAUUUAUCGCCUUUAGAGCGGCCCGCGUCUGAUUAGCUAGUUGGUGAGGUAAAGGCUCACCAAGGCGACGAUCAGUAGCUGGUCUGAGAGGAUGAUCAGCCACAUUGGGACUGAGACACGGCCCAAACUCCUACGGGAGGCAGCAGUGGGGAAUCUUGUGCAAUGGGCGAAAGCCUGACGCAGCCAUGCCGCGUGAAUGAUGAAGGUCUUAGGAUUGUAAAAUUCUUUCACCGGGGACGAUAAUGACGGUACCCGGAGAAGAAGCCCCGGCUAACUUCGUG